rnacentral:lncRNA from 1 species
AGAGAGAGAGAGAGGGGUCUAAAUUGUUUCUCUUUAUUUAUUUUUACAAGAAAAAACAUAUAACAUGAAUCACUAAAUUUAAAAGCAAUUCAAACGGAACAAUCAAUCAAUCAAUCAUCAAUAAUCCUUACAACAUAAUCGAAAAAAGGGCGACUGUAGAUCGCUCUCGUGGUUUUGGCUCCUGUUCACCGUUCCAAAAUCCCUUCGAUCCCGUUUCCCUUUUUCUCUCUCGUUUGUNNNNNNNNNNNNNNNNNNNNNNNNNNNNNNNNNNNNNGUCUUUCUCCCGGUUCUAUUGCGUCUGGUAGGAAGCUUUCUAUUUUUGUCAGUCCCAGGCUUUCUCUCUGCCAUCGCAGAUUGCUUUUGGAGUUUGUUUGUCUCGUUUCCAAUUUGUUCUGACUUUGUACCUAUUGCUUCUUGUUUGGUUGAUUGGCUUGGACUGCAUAUUCAAGGUUUGUAUUGUUAUUACAAACUUUAUCUUUGGUUUAUUCUUUUUUGUUUUUCAAUAGAUUUUGUGUGUUUUUUUUUUGGUCCUUUAAUUGAAGUGUUCAAUUUUGAUUUUUUUUUCUUUUGCAGGGUUUGAUUUUGUUUGUUUGUUUGUUUCAUUUUAAAGGUUUGAACUUGUUUCUUGUUUUAUUUGUUAUCCUAUAUAUUGUAUAUUUGGUGUAUUGUUUCUUUUUCAUCUAACAAUGGAGCUAUUUUUGCAACUGUAUAAAGGUAUGUAUGCAUUUUCAUUGAUUUAAUUUGCUAUUUGGUUGUUAGUGCUUAUUGGUUUCUAUUCUCUUGCCUUUAUUUUCGGUUUGGUGGGUGAGGUUUUUGUUUCCUGGAUUUUCUUCCUCUGUUAGAUGCCCCUUUCCUUGUAUCUUCCUCUUUGGUACUUUUUGUAUN